UCAAUAAAUUCUGCUCCUUUUUUAUCAUCACUUCGUCUCCUGCUUCUGCUCUUCACUGGCUUUUUCCUCAGUCAACUUCUUGGCUGAUAGAAGACUGUUAAUAGAGUUUUGGGUAUGUUUGGGUACCAGACAAGACUUCUUUUUAACAGGUUUUGGGUAUUAGACUACUUUACUGAUGAGUUGUUCUGUUACCAGUCAAAUCAGAUAUGUUCUGACGGGAUCCGGGACUGGAUCUUAAUUAUCUGGCUUGGAGGCAUGAUCUAACACUAUGUUUUUGUAAGAAACAAAUCAAGAUGUUUUUGAUGUCAUAAAAUUUCUCCAAAUCUGUUGUGAUGAAGAAACAAACUCAUUUACAUCUUGGAUGACCUGAGGGGGGGGGUUAACCAUCCCUUACACAUUGACAUGCAUCUAGUCCUGCCUCAAAUUGACGGUGUUUGGCUCCAAGGAGUACUGGCAUGGAAUUGAAUAAUCACUUUGGAAAUCCUAAGAGCUUAAAUCAGGUCUAAGAUGUCAAAAGUCAGCAGGACAUGUCUUCCUGUGUCAACCGCAAACAAGUUCCCAAAAGCCCUCUGAAACCAGCAAAACACACCAGCCAGAUUGGGAGUCCUACUAAGACUAGCAAAAAAUCCUUGGCUGGUUAAAGCUAUUUUUUAGCAGGAAGGUGUUGCAGUAUGUGUGUGCCAUUAAAUUUGAAACACUACAAACAUCAAGAGCACAGAAAACAUCACCCACCUGAUACUUGCGGUCUGCUUGGCAGUUUUCUUUCUACCGUUGGAGAGGAAGGUGGAAAAAUCGUGACCCAAACAGAACCUCAAACAGUCCCUCACAUUCAAAGGCAUCAGGAUGUUUUUGAAAGGUCAGGAAAAUAAAAAGAACAUGUGUGAUGCAACUGCUUGGAAAUGCAGAAAUUCAAAAUUCAUUAAAAGAAAAUAAGAUGGAAAGUUUUGUAAAUAUUUGCUUUUGCUUACUUAGAGGAACAAGGAAGAGUGAGAUCAGUGCCCAGUGCUAUAACCACAACCACACAAA